CAUCCUCCAAGGCUAAAUACUCCUGACUGACCGAUAGUGAACCAGUACCGUGAGGGAAAGGCGAAAAGAACCCCGGCGAGGGGAGUGAAAAAGAACCUGAAACCGUGUACGUACAAGCAGUGGGAGCACAGGUUUACCUGUGUGACUGCGUACCUUUUGUAUAAUGGGUCAGCGACUUAUAUUCUGUAGCAAGGUUAACCGAAUAGGGGAGCCGGAGGGAAACCGAGUCUUAAUUGGGCGUUAAGUUGCAGGGUAUAGACCCGAAACCCGGUGAUCUAGCCAUGGGCAGGUUGAAGGUUGGGUAACACUAACUGGAGGACCGAACCGAC
rnacentral:rRNA from 2 species